rnacentral:rRNA from 1 species
UACCAGCACCCCGAGUGGUCGGGACGUUUAUUGGGCCUAAAGCAUCCGUAGCCGGUUCUGCAAGUCUUCCGUUAAAUCCACCUGACUUAACAGAUGGGCCGCGGAAGAUACUAUAGAGCUAGGAGGCGGGAGAGGCAAGCGGUACUCGAUGGGUAGGGGUAAAAUCCGUUGAUCCAUUGAAGACCACCAGUGGCGAAGGCGGCUUGCCAGAACGCGCUCGACG